AGAUUUGAUUCCUGGCUCAGGAUGAACGCUAGCGGCAGGCUUAAACACAUGCAAGUCGAGGGGCAGCAUGUCCAGCAAUGGAUGAUGGCGACCGGCGGAAGGGUGCGUAACGCGUGAGCAACAUGCCCUAUACAGGGAGAUACACCAGGGAAACUUGGUCUAAUAUCCCAUAGCAUUCAUUGAAGGCAUCUNUAAUGAAUUAAAGCUUCGGUGGUAUAGGAUUGGCUCGCGUGACAUUAGCCAGAUGGUGAGGUAACGGCUCACCAUAGCAAUGAUGUCUAGGGGUUUUGAGAGGAAGGCCCCCCACACUGGGACUGAGACACGGCCCAGACUCCUACGGGAGGCAGCAGUGAGGAAUAUUGGACAAUGGAUGGAAAUCUGAUCCAGCCAUGCCGCGUGCAGGAAGACGGCCUUAUGGGUUGUAAACUGCUUUUAUACGGGAGCAAUAAGGGUUACGAGUAAUCCGAUGAGAGUACUGUAUGAAUAAGGAUCGGCUAACUCCGUGCCAGCAGCCGCGGUAAUACGGAGGAUCCGAGCGUUAUCCGGAAUUAUUGGGUUUAAAGGGUGCGUAGGCGGCCAUUUAAGUCAGCGGUGAAAUUUUGCAGCUUAACUGUAACAGUGCCGUUGAUACUGUUUGGCUAGGAUUUGGUUGUAGUGUGCGGAAUGUGUGGUGUAGCGGUGAAAUGCUUAGAUAUCACACAGAACACCGAUUGCGAAGGCAGCACACUAAGUCAUUAUUGACGCUGAGGCACGAAAGUGUGGGGAUCAAACAGGAUUAGAUACCCUGGUAGUCCACACUGUAAACGAUGAUAACUCGCUGUCGGCGAUACACAGUCGGGGCCAAGCGAAAGC
rnacentral:rRNA from 1 species